UACUCUGAAGGAUGGGCAGAGGUAGGAAGGACAGUGCUGCACUCUGAAGGAUGGACAGAGUGGGAAGGACAGUAUCUACACCCAGAAGGAUGGGCAGAGGUGGGAAGUACAGUGUCUACACCCAGAAGGAUGGGCAGAGGUAGGAAGUACAGUGUCUACACCCAGAAGGAUGGGCGAGGUAGGAAGUACAGUGUCUACACCCAGAAGGAUGGGCAGAGGUAGGAAGGACAGUGUCUACACCCAGAAGGAUGGGCAGAGGUAGGAAGUACAGUGUCUACACCCAGAAGGAUGGGCAGAGGUAGGAAGUACAGUGUCUACACCCAGAAGGAUGGGCAGAGGUAGGAAGUACAGUGUCUACACCCAGAAGGAUGGGCGAGGUAGGAAGUACAGUGUCUACACCCAGAAGGAUGGGCAGAGGUAGGAAGUACAGUGGCCCUGUGGCCUGGUGGCUAAAGCUCCCGCUUCGCACACGGAGGGCCCGGGUUCGAUUCCCGGCGGGUGGAAACAUUUCGACACUUUUCCUUACACCUGUUGUCCUGUUCACCUAGCAGCAAAUAACACCAGUGUUAGUCAACUGGUGUGGGUCACAUCCUGGGGGACAAGAUUGAGGACCCCAAUAGAAAUAAGUUAGACAGUCCUCGAUGACGCACCGACUUUCUUGGGUUAUCCUGGGUGGCUAACCUUCCGGGGUUAAAAAUCCUAACGAAAUCUUAUCUUAGUGUCUACACCCAGAAGGAUGUGUGAGGAUAUUGCAGUUUAGACACACACUGACAACUUAAAAAGUGACCAGAAUGCAAGUGUCCUUCUUAAGAUGACUGGUCUUGCCUCGGUGGGACGUAGUAGUAUAGUAGGAAGCUUUUAGCUUAGAGAAGUAUACAGUACUAGGAAUUCCUGUAUUGUUGUUGCAACUGCUCAAUUGCACUGUGCCUCAUGAGAUGCUCCUAGAAGUGUUUAGUUAAAUACUAUUUUAUUACCCUUCACAGGGGGGGGGGGAGGUGCCUUGAUGCUGGCAAAGGGCUUGUGAUCCGAGGAUCCAGAGCCUGAGGGACACUUUUUCUAAACACGUUUAUCAAUUAGUGCCUCGCUUUCUCGUGUAAUCCGGUACUUGUAGUUUAAGGUAGAUUUUUUCAUUCCAUUAUAGUUAAGUAGCAGUUAUUGUCUUUUUUACAAGAGAUAAAAGUGUCAUUAUUGGUAGAAAAUAAAAAAAAAAAAGAUUGUAUUUUGUGUAUGGGAAAACUGAUUUUCACGAAUCCAAAUUUUUUUCCAUUUUCGAAUUAUUUUUAUACGAGUUUAAUAACUAGUUCAACGAGUUGCAUUUAUUGUGAAACAUGUUCAAGGUAACAGUUAGCCGCAUACAAUAUUAAAAUGUGCAGGAGAAAAUGUGUCGACUAGUGAAAAAAGUCACUUUUAAAGUAACAACAGACUGCACUCAUGACUCCACUCACAGUACUUGUGCCAAUUAUGUGUUCAUUGUGUAAUAUUUUUAUUAAUUACUUUAUAAAAAAUUUAGCUUAGUUAUGAUUGAUAUUGUAUACUAGUACAUUGUAUUAUUAUUGUAUUUACAGUUAUGAUUGAUAUUGUAUACUAGUACAUUGUAUUAUCAAUAUUAUUAUAUUUACAUCAAAAUCUGAUGCACCUCAAAAAUGAAAAUUAUACGUAAUAUAUAAAUUCUACAUAGAAUUAAGGAAUAUAGUAUAUAUCAAAAACAUCACUCAAAAUAAUGGGAAAACGGCAGGCAAAAGCUUUUGAAAAUUGUUGUAAUGACUUAGUAAUGUCAGAAGCAUGGAGAAUAAUUUUGACAUUGUCAGCCAACAUUAAGGUCAAUGUUGUACUGACAUGUGUUAAGAGAGUAGUAGUGACUUGCUGUGUUAGUGUCAUCUGGAUUAUUGCACCCAACAUUAAACUACCUUAUUAGCUCACUUCUCGAUUUUAAUACAGGACUAUCUUUCUGUCUGGAGCCCCGGACAGGGAGCGUUGGGCAGCUGCCUGGAGCCCUGGACGGGGAGUGUCGGGCAGCUGCCUGGAGGCCCAGAUGAGUAGUGUCAGGCAGCUGCCUGGAGCCCCAGACGGGGCGUGUUGGGCAGCUACCUGGAGGCCCAGACGGGGUGUGUUGGGCAGCUGCCUGGAGGCCCAGACGGGGCAUGUUGGGCAGCUGCCUGGAGGCCCAGACGGGGCGUGUUGGGCAGCUGCCUGAAGGCCCAGACGGGGCGUGUUGGGCAGCUGCCUGGAGCCCUGGAUGGGGAGUGUUGGGCAGCUGCCUGGAGGCCCAGACAGGGAGUGUUGGGCAGCUGCCUGGAGCCCUGGAUGGGGAGUGUUGGGCAGCUGCCUGGAGGCCCAGACGAGUAGUGUCGGGCAGCUGCCUGGAGCCCUGGACGGGGAGUGUCGGGCAGCUGCCUGGAGGCCCAGACGAGUAGUGUCAGGCAGCUGCCUGGAGCCGUGGAUGGGAAGUCACUUAACAUUGAACUCUUACACAAGUCUGAAGUAACACUGGCAAAAGUAUUUUAUGUGCUUGAAGUUGUUCUUGUAAACUGUUACUAUUAUAGUUUAUGUUUCCUGCAACUAAAACUGUCACUUAUGAUGAUGUUUUAUGGAGAGUAACAUUACAGGACAGUGUCAGUGUGUGGAGAGUAACAUUACAGGACAGUGUCAGUGUGUGGAGAGUAACAUUACAGGACAGUGUCAGUGUGUGGAGAGUAACAUUACAGGACAGUGUCAGUGUGUGGAGAGUAACAUUACAGGACAGUGUCAGUGUGUCCAGGACAAUAAGGGUGACGGCUGGAAUACUUGCUUGUGGUAAUUAUCCUUUUCCCUGGAUUAAACCAGAUUGUUUCAUUCCCUCCCAGGCACAGUAUGACCCAUGCAGGCUUAGUGCUUCUCCAUGAAUAUUAUUAUACUGCUAAGUGCUAAACCCACAAGGGUCACACAGUGCUGCUCCACACAAAUAUAUUUAACAAUUUGGUCAAGCACUAUAAACUAAAUUAACAAUAUUUUUUUUUUCAUAAUGUGUUGAUUUUAUUUAAAAUUUUGAUGUUAUUUUGAUUUUCUAUUAAAUCUGUGUGGAAAAGUUAGGUCCAAUUUCUUGGAUCAAGAGCCCCUCACCUUGAAGGAACCUCCCUUGAGGGGAUUACAUUUCUGUAAUACUGAAAUGUGUUCAGUUUUAUGUUGAUGUGACGGUCACAGUUAUGUUAAUGUAAGGUGUUUAAUGUGUAUUAUAUUUUGGUAUUAUAAUCAAAACUAAGAACUAUUAUUGUUUGGUAUCAAAAUAUUCACACAGUUAUAUAUUCUAUCAACUACCUAAUUAAAAGAAAGUGACGAGGUUAAUCGUAAGUGAUUACAGAGACUACCUGUCCGCACCUGUCUUGUAGUGAGGACAACACUGUCCUCUGCACGUCUAUUAUUUCUAUAUUACAUUACCUGAGGCUUCAUAUAGCUUAUACGUAUAUAAAACAAACAUUAAAGUAUCAGAAAAUAUUACUUAUUAGAGUGAAUUUAUGGGAGAUCAAGAAUGUUUGGGGGUAUUGUUUAUUGCUAACAUAUUUGUGUACUAAAACGUGUGUUAAACUGUGCUGUAAGCACAAGCACUGUAGUGUUAUAUUACCCUUCUCAUAUUACCUCUAAAUAACUUAUAUACACAACCCACAAAUUGAAGGUGAAGGUAGAUUUAUUUCAGUCCAUCCUGAAGCAUUAAGACUUUCUUUGUAAUAUUUUAUAUGAUGUAAACCACACGUUGUAAUUAAUAUUUUGUAAUAUAUAAAGCACACAUUGUACGCUUUGUGAGGAAAUUAACAUAUUCAUUUUGUUAGUCAUAACUAUGAUCCAGGAUGGACAAAAUAUUUACUUUCUUAUAUAAUUGUUGGUUAUAAUUAUUUUAGCCACAGUACUGACUUAUUAUUUUUUAACUUAUAUAAUUUGAAUAGUUCUCAGAUUGAGUAUAUAUUCUGGUAGUUUUUUUUUACAAUGUUGUAGUUUGGUCUUGAGAGACUGAUGGGGUAUGUUUGUGGGCACACUAUCAUACUGUAUUUUUAUUGCAGCUUGGAAACACUGACUAAUUUCAUGGUUACAAAGAAUUUUAAUUUACACAAAUAACCUGCACGUAGACUUACGACGACAUUUUGGUCUGACUCGGACCACUGGUCACACACUAGUUAAUGGCCUAAAUCAGACCAAAACAUCGUAAGUUCCUUCUAUAUGAUGGUUAUUUGUGUAUUAUUUGUUAAGCAUAUUUUGUCAAUGAGAGACGUUGACAAGAUGGUAAUCUUGCAUGUUAGGUUACAGUAAUUGCAAAUAUUUCAAUGCUGUUGUAGCUGAGGAUUGAGGCUCUAGCAUUCUGUGCUCAGACCCAUGUGGGUUUACUGCUAUAUAAAAAAUGGUUCCGGCUGUCAAGCUAUGGAAGGUAAUUCACCAAGUAGAACAAUAUUUGACGGUCUCGCUCACAGUGGAGCGGCAGAUACUUUAUAAAGCUCAACUGUUGUACAUAGUUGUAAUAUCUUCAGAGAACUUUCACCCUAUAGGUUACUCAGCACUCUUAGCAAUCAAAUUUUUUAUGCAACGUUAUUACAUUCACGGGGAGUGCUAAACCCAAAGGAUCAUAUAGCUGCUGGAGGAAUGGAACAAAUUCAGGUUUGAUUAAAGGAAUCCAAGCACGGAUCCAAUUCCUUAGAUCAGGAGCCCCUCACCAGCUAUGCAACACAAUAGAUAAAAUUAACUAAACUAAAAUGCAUAUCACAAAUACUAUCACAUUUAGAAUAAUUAUCAGUUUAAAAAUACAAGAAAUUAUUGUUAAAAGUAGAACUUAAGUCUGGGUGAAGCUGCAUUAGUUUUUCUGUCUCUUUAUAUCUUAUAUUAUUGUAUAACAAUUUGUGAAGAACAAAAAACAAUUGUCUUACAUGGAAUACAAAUUAAUUUUUUUGAACUGACAAGUGUAACAUUUCCACAAUUUUGUUAAUAACAAAAUGGCUUAUAGAUCUACACAAAUGUAGGUGCCUUCUUGUGUUAAAAUAUUCACUUACAGCAAAUCAGUGCUGUCCCUUCCCCUCAUUAAUUCUUUCCUAUUAUAUAUUAAGACGUUAACUUUCAUAAGGUAGGACGAGUUGGUGGGAUAAACCGCCGUGUCGGCACCGACCUGCAACUUUAUAUAUACAUUGUACUUCUAGUGAAGAAAGAAUUUUUAAAAGCACAUUUUAAAACUAUUAACUUUCAUUGGCUGAUGGACUUUAAUUCAGUUUUUAAAGAUCCAAAGCUUCAGUGUGUAGCUUUAUGUAUUUAAAGUGUGUCGGUACUUGUGAGGUGGUCGUGUAAUAAUGUACGUUACUGUGCUCUAGUGCGUCAUCCAAUACUCCAAAACCAUUAAUUCUCAUUUUCCCAUCAUACUCUCAUACUAAUAAAACUUCAAGUGAGGUUAUGUAACAUCAACCUCAUUAUUACUAAGAUACCUUCAAUAAUGCUAGUACAUGACCCUAACAUGUUUUGUAGAUUACAGUAUGUGCACUUUGUAAAUGAAAUAGUCGUAAUGUAUUUCACCUGAUGUCUAAUAACAAAUACUAUUAAU